AGCGCAGGCGGGUUGGCAAGUCCUUGGUGAAAUCCUGAGGCUUAACCUCAGGACUGCCAAUGAUACUGCCGAUCUUGAGUGCAGAAGAGGAAGACGGAAUUCCUGGUGUAGCGGUGAAAUGCGUAGAUAUCAGGAAGAACACCGGUGGCGAAGGCGGUCUUCUGGUCUGUAACUGACGCUCAUGCUCGAAAGCGUGGGGAGCAAACAGGAUUAGAUACCCUGGUAGCCCACGCCCUAAACGAUGGAUACUCGAUGUCGGGUCGCAAGGCCCGGUGCCCAAGCUAACGCGUUAAGUAUCCCACCUGGGGAGUACGAUCGCAAGGUUGAA
rnacentral:rRNA from 1 species